rnacentral:rRNA from 1 species
AUACGGAGGGUGCAAGCGUUAAUCGGAAUUACUGGGCGUAAAGCGCGCGUAGGUGGUUGGAUAAGUCGGAUGUGAAAGCCCUGGGCUCAACCUGGGAACUGCGUUUGAUACUGGCGGGCUAGAGUCCGGGAGAGGGUAGUGGAAUUCCCAGUGUAGAGGUGAAAUUCGUAGAUAUUGGGAAGAACACCAGUGGCGAAGGCGGCUACCUGGACCGGUACUGACGCUGAGGUGCGAAAGCGUGGGGAGCAAACAGGAUUAGAUACCCUAGUAGUCC